rnacentral:rRNA from 1 species
UACGGGGGGCGCAAACGUUGCUCGGAAUUACUGGGUGUAAAGGGUUCGUAGGCGGUGCGGCAAGUCGGGAGUGAAAUCUCUGGGCUCAACCCAGAGGCUGCUUCCGAAACUGCUGUGCCUGAGUGUGGGAGAGGCGCGUGGAAUUGCAGGUGUAGCGGUGAAAUGCGUAGAUAUCUGCAGGAACACCCGUGGCGAAAGCGGCGCGCUGGACCACCACUGACGCUGAGGAACGAAAGCUAGGGGAG